rnacentral:rRNA from 1 species
AGCGAACGCUGGCGGCAGGCCUAACACAUGCAAGUCGAACGAACUCUUCGGAGUUAGUGGCGGACGGGUGAGUAACACGUGGGAACGUGCCUUUAGGUUCGGAAUAACUCAGGGAAACUUGCGCUAAUACCGAGUGUGCCCUUCGGGGGAAAGAUUUAUCGCCUUUAGAGCGGCCCGCGUCUGAUUAGCUAGUUGGUGAGGUAACGGCUCACCAAGGCGACGAUCAGUACCUGGUCUGAGAGGAUGGCCAGCCACACUGGGACUGAGACACGGCCCAGACUCCUACGGGAGGCAGCAGUGGGGAAUCUUGCGCAAUGGGCGAAAGCCUGACGCAGCCAUGCCGCGUGAAUGAUGAAGGUCUUAGGAUUGUAAAAUUCUUUCACCGGGGACGAUAAUGACGGUACCCGGAGAAGAAGCCCCGGCUAACUUCGUGCCAGCCGCCGCGGUAA